rnacentral:rRNA from 1 species
CCAAUAGCGUAUAUUAAAGUUGUUGCAGUUAAAAAGCUCGUAGUUGAAUUUCAGGCCUGGCUGGACGGUCCGCCCUUCGGGUGAGUACUGUCUGUGGUCGGGUCCUACCUUCUGGCGAAGCGUCAUGGCCUUAACCGGCCGUGGCGGGGAACCAGGACUUUUACUGUGAAUAAAUUAGAGUGUUCAAAGCAGGCAAAUCGCUUGGAUACAUUAGCAUGGAAUAAUGGAAUAGGACAAUGGUUCUAUUUGUUGGGUUCUAGGACUGUUGUAAUGAUUAAUAUGGAUAGUUGGGGGCAUUAGUAUUCAAUUGUCAGAGGUGAAAUUCUUGGAUUUAUUGACGACUAACUACUGCGAAAGCAUUUGCCAAGGAUGUUUUAAUUAAUCAAGAACGAAAGUUAGGGGAUCGAAGACGAUCAGAUACCGUCGUAGUCUUAACCAUAAACUAUGCCGACUAGGAAUCGGGCGAUGUUGACAAAAUGACGCGCUCGGCACCUCAUG